rnacentral:rRNA from 1 species
AUUGAACGCUGGCGGCAGGCCUAACACAUGCAAGUCGAACGGUAACAGAAAGCAGCUUGCUGCUUUGCUGACGAGUGGCGGACGGGUGAGUAAUGUCUGGGAAACUGCCUGAUGGAGGGGGAUAACUACUGGAAACGGUAGCUACUACCGCAUAACGUCGCAAGACCAAAGAGGGGGACCUUCGGGCCUCUUGCCAUCGGAUGUGCCCAGAUGGGAUUAGCUAGUAGGUGGGGUAACGGCUCACCUAGGCGACGAUCCCUAGCUGGUCUGAGAGGAUGACCAGCCACACUGGAACUGAGACACGGUCCAGACUCCUACGGGAGGCAGCAGUGGGGAAUAUUGCACAAUGGGCGCAAGACUGAUGCAGCCAUGCCGAGUGUAUGAAGAAGGCCUUCGGGUUGUAAAGUACUUUCAGCGGGGAGGAAGGGAGUAAAGUUAAUACCUUUGCUCAUUGACGUUACCCGCAGAAGAAGCACCGGCUAACUCCGUG